ensembl:lncRNA
CUUUUUUGUUGUCUGUGUCACUUUUCAUACGUUUGUUCAUGGACACGUUCAUUAACCAAAAUAAAAAUAAAAAUGAGAGAAGAAAUCGGAAACAAUAAUUUGUACUUACAAGACUGACUGAAAUAAAAAAUAAACAGAAAACAUUCUUACUUUUUGGCAGUGUGGUCAGAUUUGAAACACCCAGACAGCUUAAUGAGGCUUUGGUGUAAAUUCACAUCAAGUCUGUAUCAAAUGAGGUGUUGUGUUUGUAUUAUAAUAUUAUAAAUCUUGCUUCUAACUCUUAACACCCACUUUAUAAUAAGAAAACUAAAAGCAACGCUGAAACUGGAUUGCUACUAUUAGAUUACUAAAUGAUUAUCAUGGCUUUCUUGGUCAAGUUGAACCAUUGUAAUUACUUUAUUCCCUAUUGGCAGCUUUAAUAUCCUUUAAAACUGUUUUUUCUUAAACCCUAAUAAAAAACAACUACAUGGCACAUUUAUCUAUUGGAUGUAUUAAAGCAGAUUUUCUUUCAACGUUUAAAUACUCAGUUAUGUACAGAUACACAAGAAUUGUAUUUUAGUUGAGCACUUGAUUAAAUGUAGGUCUUAUCUGUAUUCAUGUUCAUGUCAAACUGUGGGCACUUAAAGGAAAAACAGUACUAAGGCAGUGGAUUCUUUGGAGUUAACCCCAUGUCUGCUGGAGGUUUUGUGGAAAAAUGUAAUACCUGACUGAACCUUUUGAAACACAUUGAUCUGUUCUCUGUUUGCCACUGUUUGUUCUCGCUCUUUGGUGGAACCACAAGCUAACAGCUUAGCUUAGAGCUUGGAGAGUACCGAGAUGUACUGUACUUCCUUAUCUGGAGAGCACAUGCAGGGCGGGUAUAUGAAUGAAUAUGAGUGAAAGUAGUUUCUCUGACAGAUAAUGUUGUAUGCUUCGGAUCAUAUGCUGUCUCUCUCUUCUCUUCUCCAUCUUUCAGAGCAGACCUCCACCUCUCCAGGCUCUCAUCCGCCUGGUCCUUACUCUCGCUACAGAUCACAGUGCCAUAUGUAAACAUCAUUGCCACGGAGACUCCUGCCUGACCUCAUCUGUCACCUUGUCCAUCACCACUGCAAACAAGAAGGGGCUCAAAGCCGAUACUGAAUAUAAUCCCACCCUGACUUUGACCUCAUCCGUAGCACCUACCAGACAGCUCACUGUUGUCACACUGUCCUCAUAUUAAAC